rnacentral:rRNA from 1 species
GGGUUGUGAGGUUAAGCGACUAAGCGUACACGGUGGAUGCCCUGGCAGUCAGAGGCGAUGAAGGACGUGCUAAUCUGCGAUAAGCGUCGGUAAGGUGAUAUGAACCGUUAUAACCGGCGAUUUCCGAAUGGGGAAACCCAGUGUGAUUCGUCACACUAUCAUUAACUGAAUCCAUAGGUUAAUGAGGCGAACCGGGGGAACUGAAACAUCUAAGUACCCCGAGGAAAAGAAAUCAACCGAGAUUCCCCCAGUAGCGGCGAGCGAACGGGGAGCAGCCCAGAGCCUGAAUCAGUGUGUGUGUUAGUGGAAGCGUCUGGAAAGGCGCGCGAUACAGGGUGACAGCCCCGUACACAAAAAUGCACAUACUGUGAGCUCGAUGAGUAGGGCGGGACACGUGGUAUCCUGUCUGAAUAUGGGGGGACCAUCCUCCAAGGCUAAAUACUCCUGACUGACCGAUAGUGAACCAGUACCGUGAGGGAAAGGCGAAAAGAACCCCGGCGAGGGGAGUGAAAAAGAACCUGAAACCGUGUACGUACAAGCAGUGGGAGCACAGAGCAAUCUGUGUGACUGCGUACCUUUUGUAUAAUGGGUCAGCGACUUAUAUUCUGUAGCAAGGUUAACCGAAUAGGGGAGCCGAAGGGAAACCGAGUCUUAACUGGGCGUUAAGUUGCAGGGUAUAGACCCGAAACCCGGUGAUCUAGCCAUGGGCAGGUUGAAGGUUGGGUAACACUAACUGGAGGACCGAACCGACUAAUGUUGAAAAAUUAGCGGAUGACUUGUGGCUGGGGGUGAAAGGCCAAUCAAACCGGGAGAUAGCUGGUUCUCCCCGAAAGCUAUUUAGGUAGCGCCUCGUGAAUUCAUCUCCGGGGGUAGAGCACUGUUUCGGCAAGGGGGUCAUCCCGACUUACCAACCCGAUGCAAACUGCGAAUACCGGAGAAUGUUAUCACGGGAGACACACGGCGGGUGCUAACGUCCGUCGUGAAGAGGGAAACAACCCAGACCGCCAGCUAAGGUCCCAAAGUCAUGGUUAAGUGGGAAACGAUGUGGGAAGGCCCAGACAGCCAGGAUGUUGGCUUAGAAGCAGCCAUCAUUUAAAGAAAGCGUAAUAGCUCACUGGUCGAGUCGGCCUGCGCGGAAGAUGUAAC